UACGAAGGGGGCUAGCGUUGCUCGGAAUCACUGGGCGUAAAGGGUGCGUAGGCGGGUCUUUAAGUCAGGGGUGAAAUCCUGGAGCUCAACCCCAGAACUGCCUUUGAUACUGAGGAUCUUGAGUUCGGGAGAGGUGAGUGGAACUGCGAGUGUAGAGGUGAAAUUCGUAGAUAUUCGCAAGAACACCAGUGGCGAAGGCGGCUCACUGGCCCGGUACUGACGCUGAGGUGCGAAAGCGUGGGGAGCAAACAGG
rnacentral:rRNA from 1 species